CGCACGGCUAUAAUGAAACCGAUUUUGGCUGCAGAACAUGAUCAUAUCUUAGUUUUUUGAUCAUCCAGCUGGAAUGUCUGGUUCUCUCUGGAGACACGCACUGACCGCUUGAUGGAACCUGCAAACCAUCUGUGACCUCAGGGGACUCGGCCCAGGCUCCUGGAGAGAUGCUGAACACAUGCACGAUUGCGAUACUCCCGCGUCUCCAGCAGGUGGCGGACAUAUGAUGAUGUCACCGACGACACUUUUUCCUGAAGUUAUGGCGGAGCACAACUUUUCUAACUUCUCUU